rnacentral:rRNA from 1 species
CCUACGGGUGGCAGCAGUGGGGAAUAUUGGGCAAUGGGCGCAAGCCUGACCCAGCAACGCCGCGUGAAGGAAGACGGCUCUCGGGUUGUAAACUUCUUUUGUCAGGGACGAAGCAAGUGACGGUACCUGACGAAUAAGCCACGGCUAAGUACGUGCCAGCAGCCGCGGUAAUACGUAGGUGGCAAGCGUUAUCCGGAUUUAAUGGGUGUACAGGGCGUGUAGGCGGGACGGCAAGUCAGAUGUGAAAACCACGGGCUCAACCUGUGGCCUGCAUUUGACACUGUAGUUCUUGAGUACUGGAGAGGCAGACGGAAUUCGUGGUGUAGCGGUGAAAUGCGUAGAUAUUAGGAGGAACACCGGUGGCGAAGGCGGUCUGCUGGACAGCAACUGACGCUGAGGCGCGAAAGCGUGGGGAGCAAACAGGAUUAGAUACCCGGGUAGUC